CACGUCGCAAAUUUAAACCAUUAGUAAUGUGUAUUGAAUUGAAUGGAAUGGAAUUAUGAUUAAUUGAAAUGUGUAUUAGUUGGAUAUUGAAAUAUGAGAAAUUGUGAUUAAAUUGAAAGCGAAUUUGAAAUAGAAAAAUGAUUUGAAUACCCUAUUAACUAGUCGGACUAAGUCAGAUAUAGUUGGCAUGCCAUAGGAUUUGGAAGUGUUCAGGCACUGAGUACCAUACUGGUGUGUUUGGUUGGAAUCCGUAUAUCCGCCAAAGUCUGAGUCUUGUUAAUAGGGGUAAAUAUGAAUAUUAAGUAAAAUUGAAAUAAGAAUUAAAUUCCCUAUUAACUUGUCGGGCUAGUCGGAUAUAAUUGGCAUGCCAUAGGAUUGGAAGAGUACGGGAUUUAUCGGCUUUAUCGAUCAGGCACUUUAUGUGCCGUAUUUUAGGCACUUAUGUGCUGGUUACUGUUACCGCUACUGCUACUGUUACCAAUUGGGCACUUUGUAUGUCGAAUAUUGUUACUGUUAC
rnacentral:lncRNA from 1 species